CCUACGGGUGGCUGCAGUGGGGAAUAUUGCACAAUGGGGGAAACUCUGAUGCAGCGACGCCGCGUGAGUGAAGAAGUAUUUCGGUAUGUAAAGCUCUAUCAGCAGGGAAGAAAGUGACGGUACCUGACAAAGAAGCCCCGGCUAAAUACGUGCCAGCAGCCGCGGUAAUACGUAGGGAGCAAGCGUUAUCCGGAUUUACUGGGUGUAAAGGGAGAGUAGGCGGCAGCGCAAGUCUGAAGUGAAAUCCCAUGGCUCAACUAUGGGAAUGCUUUAGAAACUGUUCAGCUAGAGUGCAGGAGAGGCAAGCGGAAUUCUUAGUGUAGCGGUGAAAUGCGUAGAUAUUAGGAGGAACACCAGUGGCGAAGGCGGCUUGCUGGACUGUAACUGACGCUGAGGCUCGAAAGCGUGGGGAGCAAACAGGAUUAGAUACCCGAGUAGUC
rnacentral:rRNA from 1 species